rnacentral:piRNA from 1 species
CCCACCUAUAUAUACCUGGUCUUACAGGAGUC